rnacentral:rRNA from 1 species
CACGUAGGGCGCAAGCGUUGUCCGGAAUUAUUGGGCGUAAAGAGCUCGUAGGCGGUCUGUUGCGUCUGCUGUGAAAACCCGGGGCUUAACCCCUGGCUUGCAGUGGAUACGGACAGACUAGAGGUAGGUAGGGGAGAAUGGAAUUCCCGGUGUAGCGGUGAAAUGCGCAGAUAUCGGGAGGAACACCAGUGGCGAAGGCGACUCUUUGGCCUGUAACUGACGCUGAGGCGCGAAAGCGUGGGGAGCAAACAGG